GUGCAGUGCGUAAUGUGUCCAACGGCCAAGUUACAAAGUGGAGAGGGGAUGAUUGUUUGGUUUUGAAUUUCGGAGAAGAGAGUUCUUCCAUUCGAGAAUCGAGAAUUUCUGUUUGUUAGUUCACUUUUCACUACGGUUUGAAGCUUUAAAGUGGACGACAUAUCGCACAGUGCACUCCAGUAAUCCAAUGAGAUAGGUAGUUGUAGUGUUUCAAUUAUUUAGUUUCUUUCCGUUGUUUUUCCUGUUUCCUGUGUUCUUCAUUUUUGUCUUCGGUCCUCUUCAUCACUGAGUCUGCUCCUGAGCCAACAGUGUCAGUGCAGCAAAGAAGCGAGACCAAACAGCAGUAAAUAACAAGAGCUUGCAUAGAUGAGGAAAUAUCAUCAGAUAAUCUUUAGUUCCAUUGAGAGAGAUGGACAAUUUCCAGUCAGAAUGGGAGGAGAAAAUCGUUUAUAAAAUCAUAUGAGGACAGUGGGGAGCGCUAAUAUUGGCCAAUGUGUCAAUAAUAUCUUGAGAAGAUUAAUGAUUGAUGAGCUGGCCAUGAUAUUCUCAUAUACUGGCCGUGCAUCAAACAGGAACACAAAAACUCCAUUUCAUGGGAGUGAUAUAUCGAAAUGCAUACUGAUUGCUGUUCAAACGUUGUUUGGUGACAUUGCAACUGCAGUGUAAUAUGGAUUGUUGGCGUCAAAAUGGCUUCAACAAGCCAGAACAAGGGUGUUGAGAAGGACCAAGAGCAGAGAGAGACUACGUCUCAUGAAGCUUAAAUCAAGGACGAUAGCAGCUCAAAGUAAAAAUAUAUAAUGAGUUAUAAGUUGAAAGUUCGAUUUUUGUAAUAAUUAAUUAAAAUCAUUGCAUUGAACAUUGCAUGUAAACUCAGAACAGUGUAUACUUGAAAAUGUUACUUAUGUCCCAGAUCUCACUAAUAAUUUAAUGUCAGUAAAUGCAAUUACCGAAAAUGGUGGAAAAGUUUUGUUUACUAAAAGUAAAGUCCAAAUCAUGAAAAACGAAAUUGUUAUUUUGGAAGGGAAUAAGCAAGGUUUAUAUGAAGUUCAAUUAAAAGAAGAAAUUAAAAAUAAUGUAACUAUUGCAGAAUAUGCCAGUAAAAUAGGUAAUCAU